rnacentral:lncRNA from 1 species
UGAUUGAUUGUGGUAUCUCAUGGAGCUGUUUCCUAAUAAUGAGUUGGUGGUGGCGGAGAGGCAUAAAUGUAAACUGGAGGUGGAGGUGACUUCACAGGUGGUGGUGGGGAGUGGUAGUAGUAGGGGGGAGGGGGUGACUUCACAGGUGGGGGUGGUGAGUGGUAGUAGUAGGGAGGAGGGGGUGACUUCACUGGUGGGGGUGGUGAGUGGUAGUAGUAGGGGGGAGGCGGUGAUUUUACUGGUGGGGGUGGUGAGUGAUAGUAGUAAGGAGGAGGAGGUGACUUCACAGGUGGAGGUGGGGAGUGGUAGUAAUAUGGAGGAGGGGGUGACUUCACCGGUGGCGGCGGUGAGUGGUAGUAAUAAGGAGGAGGGGGUGACUUCACAGGCGGGGGUGGAGAGUGGUAGUAGUAUGGGGGAGGGGGUGAUUUCACUGGUGGAGGUGGAGAGUGGUAAUAGUAUGGAGGAGGUGGUGACUUCACGGGUGGAGGUGGAGAGGGGUAGUAGUAUGGGGGAGGGGGUGAUUUCACUGGUGGAGGUGGAGAAUGGUAAUAGUAUGGAGGAGGUGGUGACUUCACGGGUGGAGGUGGAGAGUGAUAGUAGUAUGGGGGAGGAGGAGACUUCACUGGUGGGGGUGGUGAGUGAUAGUAAUAUGGAGGAGGGGGUGAUUUUACCGGUGGAGGUGGAGAGUGGUAGUAGUAUGGAGGAGGAGGAGACUUCACGGGUGGAGGUGGAGAGUGGUAGUAGUACGGAGGAGGGGGAGACUUCACCGGUGGAGGUGGAGAGUGGUAGUAGUACGGAGGAGGAGGUGACUUCACGGGUGGAGGUGGAGAGUGAUAAUAGUACGGAGGAGGAGGUGACUUCACUGGUGGUGGUGGAGAGUGAUAAUAGUAUGGGGGAGGAGGUGACUUCACUGGUGGUGGUGGAGAGUGAUAGUAAUAUGGGGGAGGAGGUGAUUUCACUGGUGGAGGUGGAGAAUGGUAAUAGUAUGGAGGAGGUGGUGACUUUACUGGUGGUGGUGGAGAAGUGUAGUAGUAAGGAGCAGGUGUGGGCUCGGGUUUAGGCUUCUUACACUCCUCGUAAGGAGUUUUAGGAGCAUAAGCAAAUGGCUUAGCUUGAAGAACAACUUCAUACUUUGUCUUGGACUUAACCUUAAGCUCGGCACCCUUAUCACCCAUGUGUAGGUCAGUUGGG